UCUUCGGAGUGAGAGCGUACACAGGUGCUGCAUGGCUGUCGUCAGCUCGUGUCGUGAGAUGUUGGGUUAAGUCCCGCAACGAGCGCAACCCUGCAUUCAGUUGCCAUCGGUAAGGCCGGGCACUCUGGAUGGACUGCCGGCGACAAGCCGGAGGAAGGUGGGGACGACGUCAAGUCAUCAUGGCCCUUAUGUCCAGGGCGACACACGUGCUACAAUGGCCGGCACAACGGGAAGCGAAGGGGCGACCCUGAGCGGAUCCCACAAAAGCCGGUCUCAGUUCGGAUUGCAGUCUGCAACUCGACUGCAUGAAGUUGGAAUCGCUAGUAAUCGUGGAUCAGCCAAGCCGCGGUGAAUACGUUCCCGGGCCUU
rnacentral:rRNA from 1 species